AUUUAUUUUCGUUCUCGGUGGACACAACAUCUUUGUUUGUAUGUGGUGCUGAGGAUCAAACCCGGGCUGCACGCAUGCCAGGCAAGCAUGCUGCCACUUGAGCCACAUCCCCAGCCCAGAUAAUCAUUAUUUUUUAAAUCUGUAUUUUGAAAUAAUUUUAGACCUACAGAAAAGUUGCAAAAAAAUGUACCAAAAAAAAUCUCAUCUACUCCUCACCACACUUCCUGCAUGAUAAGAUUUUUCCCUUGUUUGCUUCUGUUUCUUACUAUUGUAUACAUCCAAAUCUUCAUCUGUCUACAUGAACUCUCCCCUGAAUCAUUUAAAAGUGAAUUCCAGAUAUAAAGCCUUUUACUUUUGAAUGCUUCAACUGCUUUACUUAAAACAAGUAUCCCAUGAGCAUUAAAAUCAGGAAAUUAGCAUCAAAACAGUAAUUAUCUAACUGCAGUCUUUUUAAGAUUUGAUCAAUGUCCCCGGCUCAGAUUUCUAUCCAGGACAAAAACUUUGUUUAGUUAUAUCUGUUUAGUCUUUUCCACUCUAGAGAAGUCCUCCAGCCUUUUUUCAACCUUCCAUAACCUCAGUGUGUUUGAAGAGUGCAAGUCAUUUAUUUUGUAGAAUGUCCCUCAACUUGACUUCUCUGAUGUUUCUCCAUGAUGGUGUCCAGGUCGUGUUGGGCAGGGAUACCACACCUAUAGGAUGCAUCAAAUCAGAAGGCACAUGAGGUCUUCAUGUCCCUCUCCUGGCAGUGUCCACUUCAUCAACCUGAGUAAGGUGGUCUCUGCCAAGAUUCUCCUCUGUAAACUUUCUAUUUUUCCCUCUGUUAUCAGUAUUUGUCUUGUGGGGAAAUAACUCUGAGGCUAUCUAAAUGUUCUAAUUCUCAUAAAAUUUGACCUGCUAUGUUAGAAUUUACUGAUGAUUUUGCCUGAAACAAUUAUUACUGUCAGGGUAUAUGCUUUUUAGAUUUCUGGGGCUGCCUUAGCAAAAUACCUUAAACUGGAUAGUAUAUCAAUAUUCUCGGGGCUGGAAGUCUGAAAUGGAGGUAUCAACAGGGUGAGUUCAUCUGAAGGCUUGGGGGGACCCAUUCCCAGCCUCUCCCUGGUGCCGUAGUCCGGCUAGGCUGCCCAAGUCUGGCUAGGCAAAAUAACCGAGAGGUGACAAGCAACUUGAAGGUUGAAGCAAGAACUACUUUAUUGCUAAUGAACUCAGCAGGAACUGAGAACUCAAAGUAGCGGGCACCCAGGGUAGCAGGAGCCACCUCUCUGCCAGACUGCAGAGGUACAUAUACCCAACUAAUUACACACAGCUUAACUUAAUUGACAUCAUCUUGACACAGCAGUCAGUCAUUAAGGAAUCCUCGUCAUCUUAAUGGCUUGCUGGUGUUACUUCACAAACCACUCCUUUUGGCAUACUGCCAGGCCCCAUCUUAACUCAGUUGUGGCCCUCAUCACCCUGGUUUCUGGGGACUUACUGGCUCUCCGGCAUUGCUUGGCCUGCAGAUGCAUCCCUAGGAUCCUUUGCCUGUACCCGGUGCUCUUCUUCUGUCUUUCUCAACAUUUUCCCUCUGUGUGUCUGUCUCUGUGUCCAAAUUUCCCGUUUUUAUUGGAUCAGAGCCCACUCUGAUGACUUCAUUUUAACUGAUUAUAUCUGAGAAGUCCCUAUUUCCAACUAAGGUCAUAUUUUGAUGGCCUGGAGGUUUAGGACUUUAACACAUUUUUCUUGGAAGAUACAAGUGAACCCAAAACAGAUGCCAUGUUGUGAUCCAUGGCAGUUUUUAAAGUUUCUCUCAAUAAAAUUAAUAGUUAAGAAAUAAAAUAUUAAUAUCUCUGAAGCUGAAAAAUGGCACAGCUAUGAGCCAGCUGGGAUCUCAUGGCCUACCUGCCUGGGAAUGCUGUGGUCUACAGGUGUGACAUUAAUGGCUCCUUGUGGCGAACCAAUGUCCAUACCCCCCACAAGUCCCAAUGUCAUAGUUUGUAUACAGGCUAGUUGUCAGCUGCCUUUUUAAAAAAAGAGUACAUCCUUCUCCCCAUGGUAUCUGCAGAGAUGGGAGUUGAGCAAGGAUACUGAGCGCCAGCCAGCACCAAGUCCAGGGUUGCUUUGGAUCCCCUACAACAAGGCAGCAACAGCCAGCCCAGGUGUGGUGUAUAGGGGCCACAAAGCCCUGUCCUGCCAAAGGCAGCCUUUCCAUGUAUUCAGUGUCUUGUGUGAUAUACCAUGUCCUUAUGAGGUAGCUAAUUGGUUGUCCCCUGCUUGUGGACUGACAUGCCUCAGUAAUGAAGCUCUCAGAAGGCACAGCGAAAUGCUCAGAUCCAAAGUACUUGAAAGGUAAAUUUUAUGGCAGCACAAAAUGGUAAUAAAUAUCCAGUCUGCCCUGGUAAGAAAAAUGGGAAGAGUAGUGGCUAUUAGGUGGCUCUUCCAUUAGGACUGUCCACGUGAGCCUCAGAAUUAAUGCUCUAACUCUGUAGGCAAAGGGGGCAUUGCUGAAGUGUGCAGUUUUCAUACCAGCCAGGGAGCAGUGCAGGUCAUCAUUUGCCUGUGGUAACCCUGGCAGUGAAAGGUGGGCAGAGCCAGCUCAGGCACCGCAUCCCUCGCCAGAGCCCAGGUCCACUGGGAGCAUCAACUGCACAUUAUGUACCUCUGAGGUGGCAUCACCAGAGGCCAUAAAGGGAGGUUUGGUGACGUCUGCCUUAUACCCACAGUCUGCCCUAGGAGCCACAUCUCUCCAUUGCCCUGCAGAGGCUCAGGCUGACUCGCUCUCAUUGCCAGCAGGCCGCAGUGGGCUUCCUGGGGCUACCAUAGUAACGUGCCACAAACUGGGUGGCUUGAAUGAAAUUUGUUGAUUCACAGUUCUGGAGGCCUGAUGUUUGAAGGUAGCAGCAGGACUGUGCUCCUCCUUGAGGGGCUGGGGAGGCUCUGCCCGGGCCCUCUCUUAGCCACCUUAGUUCCUUGAAAGUGGCUACAGAACUCUAGUCUUCCGUUUCUCCCUGUGCACUUGUCUGUUUCAAAUGCCUCUUUUCAGAAGGAGAGCUGGCCUAUUGCAUAUACCCUACUUCAGAAUCCUCUCCUCCUAACUAAUUACAUCAGCAACAACCUUAUUUCCAAAUAUGGUCACAUUUUGAGGUUCUGGGGGUUAGGAUUUCUGACAUACUUUUUUUUUUCUUUAGGGCACAAUUCUGCUGUAGGCAUUGGUUGGCAGUGCCCCGCUCCCCCAGUCCUUUGACAUCCCAAGGGUAACGAAUGGCUGCACAAUAAUUUAUUAACUGAGGUCUACUUGGCAAACGAGUCCCUCUUCCUCCUGGGCCAGCACUUCCCAUUGAGCAAUGAGGCAACCUGCCUUCCAAAUCAGGCAGACGCUAUGCCGAUCCAUUAGCCUGCCUGUCAAGUUAAAAGGAAUGUGCUCCACAUUCAUCUCCAACAUACAUGCAUAUGUAAAUUAUACAUGUGUAGGUUGUAACAUGUAUACAAAAAUGGAUGGUGACAUGUUACAGGAGAAAUAAGCAGUAUUUUAAAUGUGUUGCUAAGCGCUGUGAAUUCAUACUCUCGUUAGCUAAGAUCACAAAGUCCAAAUACCCUUGAGGUGAAGUUUCUCAUUAAUGAUUCAGGAUGUGAAUCUGAAUUUCUAAAGACCUUCCAGUAAUUCCGGUUUUGUGGGGGAGGGUGCUCCUUGUCAGGUCUGAUUAGAUCCCUGGUAUCUGUGCUGCUGUUGAUGAGAGGAGGUGUGAGCUCAUUCCUCUCGUACUGUUCGCUGUGCUGUAUACAGAUCAACUUCAGCAUCCAGCAUCCAGAUUUCUUUUUUGCAAGAAUUUUCCGUUCUU
rnacentral:lncRNA from 1 species